ACGAACGCUGGCGGCAGGCUUAACACAUGCAAGUCGAGCGCCUCGCAAGAGGAGCGGCAGACGGGUGAGUAACGCGUGGGAAUCUACCCAUCUCUACGGAACAACUCCGGGAAACUGGAGCUAAUACCGUAUACGUCCUUCGGGAGAAAGAUUUAUCGGAGAUGGAUGAGCCCGCGUUGGAUUAGCUAGUUGGUGGGGUAAUGGCCUACCAAGGCGACGAUCCAUAGCUGGUCUGAGAGGAUGAUCAGCCACAUUGGGACUGAGAAACGGCCCAAACUCCUACGGGAGGCAGCAGUGGGGAAUAUUGGACAAUGGGCGAAAGCCUGAUCCAGCCAUUCCGCGUGAGUGAUGAAGGUCUUAGGAUUGUAAAAUUCUUUCACCGGGGAAGAUAAUGACGGUACCCGGAGAAGAAGCCCCGGCUAACUUCGU
rnacentral:rRNA from 1 species